AAGGGAGUCCUGCUGCUUUUUUUCUCAGCCUGUGACUGUUUAUAAUUCCCCUCUUCAUCUUUACUUUUUCCUCAUGGUGCAGAAGUUGGAAAUGAUAUAUGUUGCUAGCUUAGAGAAAGUAGAGAUGAGACUGAAAAGAGCAGAGUGAACAAGGGAACCAAGUUUCGUUUGGUGCACUGGGAUCUGAUAUAUAAGAAGCUGUGAACUCCUGUAACAGAAGCUCAAAUUUUCUUACUUUGUUGUGGUGUCAUUUUCCAGGGUGGUAGGGCUGAAAGCAACAGGAUCAAACAUCUCAAGCCUGCUGCUAGAUGUUGUGGUCUGACAAACUACAUGGCUUCCGUUAUCAAAACAGAACAGAGUUGAUGCAUUUGUGGAGUCAGUGGAGGCACGCGGAUCUUGAGAUGAGAUUGACUGAGGAAGG
rnacentral:lncRNA from 1 species